GCCCAUGUAGCUCAGUUGGCAGAGCACGUCUUUGGUAAAGACGAGGUCACGAGUUCAAGUCUCGUCAUGGGCUCCA
rnacentral:tRNA from 1 species